ACUGUUCUUUGGGAUUAUCUUUGGGUUAUUCUUGCACAACUUAGGUGGAUGGCAAAGAAGGCCCCCUUGUAGGGGGGCUUGAGCCACCAAUGAUAUACCACUCUAGAAGAGCUAUAAUUCUAACCUUUUAUCGAAACCUACGGGUCAAGGGACAAUCUAAGGUAGAUAGUUUCUAUGGGGCAUAU
rnacentral:ncRNA from 1 species